UUUGUUUUGAGUUGAGUCUUGGUUCACCUAACUACUAGGCUUUGAAUUUAAUGGGUAAUAUUUUGUUUUGAGUGCAUGCAAGCAUGAUUCCGCCUUUAAUUUGUUAAUUGCAUGCUAUAGAUGUUGCUCAAAUGAACAUGUUUUUCACAAAAUUUCCUUCAAGUGGUAUCAGAGCCUAGGUUUAGUGGUUGGUGAAUCCUUUUGGGUUUUGUAUUUUUCAUAGUUUAUGAUUUGAAUGUUGUAAUUGUUACAAGCUUUAUUCUUGCUUCUUUGAAUGUAAAUUUUGCUAGAAAAUUUGCCUUCUCAAAUGUUGUAGAUGUAGUUCAUAUGAGCAUGAAUUUUGAAGCUAAAAUUUGGUGCCAUGUUUUUGGGGAUUUUCGGCCAAAUCCAAAGGGUGAUUUUUUGGGUUCUUGUUUGACUUGUUAAAAGUGUUUUAAGGUGACUUUUGGAACCCCUAAGUACCCUAGGAUGUUAACCCCAUUUUGAGUUGUGAAAAAUUGAGUUUUAUUGAGUGAAAAUGUUCAUGGAACUCUUAUGGGUUUUCAUGGAUGUUCUUCAUUGUUCUUGCCAAGAACAAAAAGGUUUGAUGUUUUGAUUCAAAGUUUUGGUUGAUUUCAUAAAGUCUUUGUUUUGUGUUGGUUGGUGUGACUUAUAUAUCAACAAAACAUUUAUUGAAAUUUUGAAAGGUGAUAGAAAUGGUGAUGGGUGUGUAAGAAGUACUUCUCUUACACACACACCACUUGCAUGGCUUUAUUCACACCAACCUAUUUCCACUUGCAUGGCUUUAUGACUUAGUUGAAAAAUUUUCAAAAUUUUUGUGACCUCACUCCUCUCCAAAACCGGCCACUCCCUCAAAGGGAGUGCUUUUGGGGCUUUUAUGCAAUUACAUAAAGUUUUGGUACUUUUGUGUAUUUUGUAGUUUGACCCAAAAGUUUACGUAUUUACGUAAAGGCCCAAAAUCAUUAAAGGACAAAUUGUUUUGUUCCUUUAAUGAAGUUUUUCAAUUUGUUGAAAUUUUUGGGUUCUAGUUGUGAUUACAUGAAGUAGUGGACUUUUGUGUUUUUACAAAAUGAGCUCAAAAGUUUAAGUUUUGCAACAUAGCCCAAAAGGUUGAGGUUAUUGCAUUUUGGCCCAAAUUAGGUUGAGAACAAAAUGGUUUUGUCUCUUUAAAUGAGAAUUG
rnacentral:lncRNA from 1 species